GAUGAACGCUGGCGGCGUGCUUAACACAUGCAAGUCGAACGAAGCACUUUAUUUGAUUUCCUUCGGGACUGAUUAUUUUGUGACUGAGUGGCGGACGGGUGAGUAACGCGUGGGUAACCUGCCUUGUACAGGGGGAUAACAGUUGGAAACGGCUGCUAAUACCGCAUAAGCGCACAGCAUCGCAUGAUGCAGUGUGAAAAACUCCGGUGGUAUAAGAUGGACCCGCGUUGGAUUAGCUAGUUGGUGAGGUAACGGCCCACCAAGGCGACGAUCCAUAGCCGACCUGAGAGGGUGACCGGCCACAUUGGGACUGAGACACGGCCCAAACUCCUACGGGAGGCAGCAGUGGGGAAUAUUGCACAAUGGGCGAAAGCCUGAUGCAGCGACGCCGCGUGAGCGAAGAAGUAUUUCGGUACGUAAAGCUCUAUCAGCAGGGAAGAUAAUGACGGUACCUGACGAAGAAGCACCGGCUAAAUACGUG
rnacentral:rRNA from 1 species